AUUGGGUCCUGCAAGACAGACGCUGAUAAAUUAGGAUAUAAUCAGAAAAAGAUGCAUGGGAGUGUGAAGGUGUUUGAGCAACAUAUCCAAUGUGGAAGACUGAAAAGAAGAACAGAGAACUCUAUAAUUUCUUCUUUGGUAUACUGUCAUGUUUGAAGUCUCACUCCUAGGAAUUAUCUUGAUUCAGAAACGUUUUUGACUUUGAUGCAUAAGGAUGAAAAAACAAAUGAAGUGAGCCCUGUAUUUGCCACAAUUUGAAAUUGUGAAAUAGGAGACAGGAAAGUCCUGGAAAAAACAUACCAGAUUCCAUUCACGGAUUCCAAAGUAGAGAGGGUUUAGAGAAUUUAUGGCUGGAUCUGUGAUCUACACUGGGAAAAAUGAGCGCUCCUCAG